AUUGAACGCUGGCGGCAGGCUUAACACAUGCAAGUCGAGCGGAGAUGAGGUGCUUGCACCUUAUCUUAGCGGCGGACGGGUGAGUAAUGCUUAGGAAUCUGCCUAUUAGUGGGGGACAACAUUCCGAAAGGAAUGCUAAUACCGCAUAUGCCCUACGGGGGAAAGCAGGGGAUCUUCGGACCUUGCGCUAAUAGAUGAGCCUAAGUCGGAUUAGCUAGUUGGUGGGGUAAAGGCCUACCAAGGCGACGAUCUGUAGCGGGUCUGAGAGGAUGAUCCGCCACACUGGGACUGAGACACGGCCCAGACUCCUACGGGAGGCAGCAGUGGGGAAUAUUGGACAAUGGGCGGAAGCCUGAUCCAGCCAUGCCGCGUGUGUGAAGAAGGCCUUUUGGUUGUAAAGCACUUUAAGCGAGGAGGAGGCUACCUGGAUUAAUACUCUAGGAUAGUGGACGUUACUCGCAGAAUAAGCACCGGCUAACUCUGUGCCAGCCGCCGCGGUAAUAC
rnacentral:rRNA from 1 species